UGCCCACCCCCCCCCCCACC
rnacentral:miRNA from 1 species